CCUACGGGUGGCAGCAGUGAGGAAUAUUGGUCAAUGGGCGAGAGACUGAACCAGCCAAGUCGCGUGAGGGAGUACUGCCCAAUGGGUUGUAAACCUCUUUUGUCGGGGAGCAAAAGCCGGACGUGUACGGCUGUGAGAGUACCCGAAGAAAAAGCAUCGGCUAACUCCGUGCCAGAAGCCGCGGUAAUACGGAGGAUGCGAGCGUUAUCCGGAUGUAUUUGGUUUAAAGGGUGCGCAGGCGGAUUUUUAAGUCAGCGGUCAAAGCGUGGGGCUCAACCCCAUCCAGCCGUUGAAACUGGGGAUCUAGAGUGUGCGAGAGGUAUGCGGAAUGCGUGGUGUAGCGGUGAAAUGCAUAGAUAUCACGCAGAACCCCGAUUGCGAAGGCAGCAUACCGGUGCACAACUGACGCUCAGGCACGAAAGCGUGGGUAUCGAACAGGAUUAGAUACCCUUGUAGUC
rnacentral:rRNA from 1 species